rnacentral:rRNA from 1 species
CCUACGGGGAGCAGCAGUGGGGAAUAUUGCACAAUGGGGGAAACCCUGAUGCAGCGACGCCGCGUGAGUGAGGAAGUAUUUCGGUAUGUAAAGCUCUAUCAGCAGGGAAGAAAAUGACGGUAGCUGACUAAGAAGGCCAGGCUAACGACGUGCCAGCAGCCGCGGGAAUACGUAGGGGGCAAGCGGUAUCCGGAUUUACGGGGUGUAAAGGGAGCGUAGCGGGGUAAUCAGGUCAGAAGCGAAACCACAGGGCUCAACCUUGGGACUGCUUUUGAAACUGAGUAGCUAGAGUGCAGGAGCGCUAAGCGGAAUUCCUAGUGUAGCGGUGAAAUGCGUAGAUAUUAGGAGGAACACCCGUGGCGCAGGCGGCUUACUGGACUGUAACUGACGUUGCGGCUCGCAAGCGUGGGGAGCAAACAGGAUUAGAUACCCGAGUAGUC